GACGAACGCUGGCGGCGUGCUUAACACAUGCAAGUCGAACGGAAAGGCCCUGCUUUUGUGGGGUGCUCGAGUGGCGAACGGGUGAGUAGCACGUGAGUAACCUGCCCUUGACUUUGGGAUAACUUCAGGAAACUGGGGCUAAUACCGGAUAGGAGCUCCUGCUGCAUGGUGGGGGUUGGAAAGUUUCGGCGGUUGGGGAUGGACUCGCGGCUUAUCAGCUUGUUGGUGGGGUAGUGGCUCACCAAGGCUUUGACGGGUAGCCGGCCUGAGAGGGUGACCGGCCACAUUGGGACUGAGAUACGGCCCAGACUCCUACGGGAGGCAGCAGUGGGGAAUAUUGCACAAUGGGCGGAAGCCUGAUGCAGCAACGCCGCGUGCGGGAUGACGGCCUUCGGGUUGUAAACCGCUUUCGCCUGUGACGAAGCGUGAGUGACGGUAAUGGGUAAAGAAGCACCGGCUAACUACGUG
rnacentral:rRNA from 1 species